CGCGCCCCUGACGGCGGUUGAAAGAUGGCGACUGUCGCCGAGCUCAAGGCUGUUUUAAAGGACACCUUGGAGAAAAGAGGAGUAUUAGGGCAUUUAAAAGCAAGGAUCCGAGCUGAAGUUUUCAAUGCCCUGAAUGAUGAAAGUGAACCCCGACCACCGUUGUCUCAUGAAAACCUUCUAAUUAAUGAAUUAAUUCGGGAGUAUUUGGAAUUCAACAAAUAUAAGUAUACAGCAUCUGUCCUCAUAUCAGAAUCUGGUCAGCCUGUAGUACCAUUGGACAGACAGUUUCUCAUUCGGGAACUAAAUGCAUUUGAAGAAUCAAAGGAUAACACAAUACCUCUUUUAUAUGGAAUUUUAGCUCAUUUCUUGCACGGAACUAAGGAGGACCUCCAAAAUCCAUUUUCGAGAGGGUCUUCACUUCAGCCUCCAAACCCAGAUCUUGGCAGACAACCUAGCGGAAGAAGGCAAAGGGAUGACCACCUAAGAAAGGAGAAGGGGAGUAUAAAUAAUAUGGAAGAUCCUCUUGUUUCUCAAGCAGUAAAGAGAUGACGUUUCCAUCUGGGGCGUCUUUUGUCUUAAAAUUGUGUGUAUUCAGUACCAUAUUUAUUCUGCCAACAUUACCAAAAUACAUCACUAAUGUUUGUACUUUGUAGAAAUUCGAGUUUCUGCAAAACAUUUAGCCCCUCCUGUUUUACUACAUUUGUGAAUAAAAACUAACUUGUAGCUUCCAGCUUCUUGGAUUUGACUUGAAAGAGAAAAAAAAAAUACUGUUUUCAGAAGACAUUUUUAUAACGUGGAGUCUCCAGACCGAUAUCCCUGACAACACCUGUUACAAUAGCGCCCGGUCGGCCGGAAGUCACAAAGCGUGUUCUGGGCGUGAACUGCGCGGGCUCCCGUUUACCGACCGCGUUUAGCUUGAACAUUUUCCACAGGGAAAGUGAUCAUGGCUGGAGCUGGAAAAAUUGGCGUCCUCUUCAGGGUGCGGACUCUGUGCUGCCUGUGGAAAUUACUGACACUUAUUAUUGGCUUUCUGUGCGGUGGUCAGCGUUCAGUCCUUACACCUUAACCAAGAAUUUUUAUCUGAGUGCCAAAAGUUUAAAGAAGUCCCCUCAAGACAUACUUGACAAGUGAGAGGAUUUUGCGAGGCCCUAUUGACGAGCUAGAAUUACUUACAUAGAGAAGUGCCAUCAGGGCUCAUUUCCAUUUUUAAAAUUAAAUCUGUAAUCUGUGGUAACAGUUAUGAAUUCCGUUGUAUUGGGUGUGGGGAUAUGAAUAUCUGAAUUCUUCUCAGAAGACUUGGUUUACAUGCAAGGAUGUUGGCAAUGGACGCUAAGUUUACCUCAGGAAUUACAAUCACGCAGGACUAGAUUAAGAAAAAAUUCUGGACUUUAUCAUUUUGGAUACUGAUAUAAAGUCAUCACAAUAGAAGCUGAACAGAAUUGUCGCGUGUAGUCGAUAGUGCUUUUGUAUGCAUUGUCCUGUCAUUUGUUUGUACCCAGGCCACUUUUAUACUUUCGAUGUAUCAUUUAAUAAAAAACACUGGAGCAACUCA